UACCAGCACCCCGAGUGGUCGGGACGUUUAUUGGGCCUAAAGCAUCCGUAGCCGGUUCUACAAGUCUUCCGUUAAAUCCACCUGCUUAACAGAUGGGCUGCGGAAGAUACUAUAGAGCUAGGAGGCGGGAGAGGCAAGCGGUACUCGAUGGGUAGGGGUAAAAUCCGUUGAUCCAUUGAAGACCACCAGUGGCGAAGGCGGCUCACUGGACCGUUGUUGACGCUGAGGUGCGAAAGCGUGGGGAGCAAACAGG
rnacentral:rRNA from 1 species